UCUUAUUUUUCAUCGAGCAGCAGCUGCCUCCAUCUUCCUCUCGUUUCAAUAGCGCCUCAUCUCAAUUCUCUUCAUCAACACCAAUUGAAAAGAGGAGAUUUAUCAACAACAUCUUGUUUUCUCUAUUAUCUUCAUCAAGGCCAAAUGAAAACGAAGAUUCAUCAACAACAUCGGUUCUUGAAGUAUGAAUCGAUGAAGAAUAUACGAUGAGGAUUAUCAACAAUGAUCAAGAGUAAUUCUAUAUUGUCCAAAGCAAUUGGUAAUUGUACAAAAACUUAGAUUACGUCUCUUCAUUAGUAAGUUGAUGGUAAUGGAAACCCUAGAUUUGUUUCUUCUUGAUUGAUGCUGGUGGUGAUAUGAAAUUUAGAGAUCUAUCAAAUGGGAAUUUUUUGUUGUUUUGCAGGCUGCAUAAUCGUUGAAUCCCUAAAAUUAACAUUUUUGGGAGUAUGGGAUGAACCAGUUGACCGUGGGGGUUAUUAUAAGUGUGAUGUUUCAAAUUUGAACUUCCUAUUCUAGUUAAUAUCUGAUUUUACUUGUAUUCGUUAAAUUUAUUAGACAUGAAGGUAUGUUAAUUGUGUAUUUGUUGUUGAUGUUAGAAAUGGAACAUUUGCUUAAAUUCAAGGGUACUUGAAAAUUUUCCAGGGUAAGAAACACUUGGAGGAUUUUUCUGUUAGUUCUCUUCGCAACCUAGUUUUGCUGAAAUCAAACAAAAGGUCCUUGACAUUUUUCCGUACCUGUGUACAUGGCACGAGAAAAUGGGGUACAUAGGGAUGAACUGGCGGAACACCUUAAAGUUCCAGUGGUGAAAAUAAAGGAAUCUCUUGCAACUCUUGAGAAGGAAGGUGUGGUUUAUCCAACAACUGACAAUUAUCAUUAUAAAUAUUUUGGAGAGUAAGAAAGAUAUUUCAAAUUAAUCCCAUAAUCUUUAUUAAAGUACUCUGAGUUAACCUAUUAUCUUCAACCUCGUCUUGAUGUCUUCCCUCUCAGUUCUUCAAGUGAUAGCCACAUUUUUUAAGUAAGGUGUCAUGUUUCUGUCACUGAGUUCUCCAAGGAUACGUAGGAGUUCAGAAAUAAAAGUUUUGACCCUUGGGUUUGUGAAGUCACAAGAUUCAGCAAAUACUAAUGAUAUAUAACCAUCUUAUUGGAGAUUCUUCUUGAUGCUAAGCAUGAUGCAAAAUCUCAGGGUGAAUAUGGAAGGCUUGAGUUUCACUUCCAAUCAUUUGUGUCAUUCAAUGUGGCCAGCAAGUGAUAUAUUCUUACCGAAGUCAAUAUAGCUGAAUUAUGCAUUAAAGUUUAUAUUCGUAUUCAACUCCCUUAAACCUUUACGUGGUCAAUUGUACUAACAUCGCAAGUCAGUUCAUUGUAGUUCAUUGUAGAGAAAACGAGCCUUAAUCCCCAAGCAGAAAGGAAAAAUGGCGGAAGAUCAUCAAGAUCAAGAUGGGAAGGCUACUUCAGCUUAAACAAGACAGCGAAACAGAUCAACGUUCUGAGGAUGACCUCAGCGAAGUUUUUGGUACAUAUGGUCUGGUCACUAAGGCAUUUUCAACUGUAGGUACGCCAGAUUACAUAGCUCCAGAAGUGUUGUUGAAGAAAGGUUAUGGCAUGGAUUAUGACUAGCUGGUAGAACUUGGUACUUGUAGCUUCACCAUCAGAAUCACUUAAAGUUACCUGAAGAGGCAAGGUUGACACCUGAAGCAAGGAAUCUCAUUUGUAGAUUGGUAUAUGAUGUUGACCAAAGACUAGAUAUUGGAGGGGCAUAUCAAAUAAAAGUGAGAUCUUAUUCCUUUUUCGAGUCUUUUCAUAUCAUGUAAUUUUGUUUCUUGUAUUUACUGUAAUGGAAACUUCUCAGGAUCAUCCUUUGUUCAAAGAUGUUGUUAAAUUUAAUUUAUGAAGUUCUUAUGA